AUGGCAUCUGUGUCUUCUGAAGACUUCCUGUCUACAUGUUGCCUCUCUGCUCCUGACUGCAGCAAAUAUUGUCCUUGCUCUCAGGAUUUUUUUUUUUUGCCUCUCCAAAAGCCUUACCGUGAUUCUUCCCCUGUGUCUCAUCAGCUGCGUCGCGCCGCCUCCUGUCCCCAAGGAGAUGUCCGAAGUCGGCUCUCCGGCUCCGGGGCAGCGAGAGGAGCUGGUGGGAGCAGACCUGAAGGGUUUCCCCAGCCCAGUGGUCGUGCCGGGGGCCGGCUGGAGGCGUGUUUGGCUGCACCGGGCUGCUUUGCAAUAGAUUUUUUYCCAGCAGUGAAUGGGUUUAGAUAUACUAAAUUGGGAACACUUUUUUUCCCCCCCCUUUUGGUAGGCCGCAGGGCUGCACACAGGUCACAGGAAUGUGUUGUUUGCAGUAAAAAGAUGGGGGUGACAUGAGCUGUGGAGUCCUUACGUCCUUCAGUGGUAAA
rnacentral:lncRNA from 1 species